UUGCGCCGGGCUUCGCGUUACCGGAGCCAAGGCUGUUGUAGGUUCUGCACAACCUGGCUCCUGGACGUCAGCGUUGGGAGGCGGACUGAUGUCGCUAGAGCCCAGCCUGAGCCAGGCCAGAGAUGCAGACUCCUGGUGUAGCUGGCAGCAGUAUGGUCCAGACUCACCGAGAAAGGCGGCUUCGAUGAGCCCCUCCACCGCGCAGACCCCCAGAAAGUGGAGCUAGUGUGGGGGCUGCUCCAGUGAAAUGACCGAUGGCUGAAGCUGCAUCUCUCCAGCCUGGGGGGCUGGCCCCCAUUGUCAGUCAGGUCACUAGAAAAACAGGCAACUCCAGUCGAUUUCAGUUACUGUGGUUCCUUUUGUGAGCUUGAACACGCACAAGUGUUCAUGCACACAUCCUGAUAUCAAAGAAGGGGAAACCCAGGCAGCAAAACCUGGCCCGGAGGAGAAGGGAGAAGAUUUUUCCUCAGUGACUCCUAAACUCCUUGUAGCUGUGUGGGGUGUCUUUGGAGACUGGCUACAGCCUCCCACUUCGGGUCUGAGGAUGUAAGACAGAAAUACCUCCAGUCGACUGAAAGCAUUUGUAAGCAUGUUUGUGUGCAUCUUUUAGUCCGCUGUGUGUUGUCACUGGCGCCUGCUUGGUCCAGCGCUGGGCUGGGCCCUGGGGACGUAGAUGAGUCAGGUCUGCAUGCUGAACCCCGUGCCCAGUGGUGGCCACUCUGGCUGUACCUGUUGCCUUGCCCAGAGUUGUGGGCUGUUCUUUGAGAGAACUCAGUCGGGGCCCCGGUGAGCUGUGGUUCCUGCUUUGUGGCCUGGACACAGACACAGAACCUUUCAUCCUCUGCUCAGUACCUCUUGUCCCCAGACAAGCCUUCCUUAUGGGCAGUGUAUGCACGCCACUGGCUUCCUGUAGGGGCCUACCUCUCCCUGGGACUAGCCACCCAGCUGCUGCUUGCCACAGCGGGCCACCUGAGACUCACCCACCUCCCCCAAUAUUCUCCCACCCCUCCACUGUUCAACAGGCAGCCACACUCCACCUCCACCACUCAGAUUGUAGCUCCAGACCUGGCCUUGUCCUCCAGGCUGCUCUAGUUUCUUAGAAAUUCCUAGUCUUGCCCUUCCUGCUCUCUCUCUCUCCAGCUAACCCCCAGCCUUCCUGAACUGUCUCUCCCUGCUGCCUGUGUCUCCACCUUAGGGGGCUUCUCCCUAAGGAAGGGCAUUGGCCAUGUCAGUACUGGGCCAGGUGUGGAUGACCUGUGAGGUGUUCACUGAAUGAGUGGUAUGGAAUUUCUGCCCUUCUCUAGAAGCUGGAGCCAAAAGAAUACAUCACAACAGCUUGCAGCCGAGGUCAGAAUCCAGACUAACAAUCCAGAAAUUGUCGGAGUGGAACCCAGCUCUCCAGACUUCAACAGCCUGCCCCAGGGAUUCUGCUGGAAGCUGAAGUUGAGAAUCCUGUACUGCUGCCUUGUUUUCCAUAAGGUUAGGCUAACACAUGGGCUGGGUGUGAACCUGGGCCAGGCAUCCUUUUAGCCAUACAAAUAUUAACUCAGGGAAGUUCACAAAUGACUCCGUGAGAAAACCUAAUGAAGUGGAGGUGCACAGUGGCAGAGGAAACCAGGCAGCUUUGAGCAGCCAAAAGGAUUCUAGAGUCAAGCUCUUCUGGGCUGAGACAAAAAUCCCCAGCAGUGUGUCUGGCUCCUAGAGGACAUUCUGGGCCUGGCUGAGAAUGCGGUCCUACAGGUGGCAUUACCUCACCUGAGAGAGACGAUGGCCCCCGUUCUCUGAGAUCUGCUGCUUUGUCAAGACUGAGGUAUAUGUCAUCUGCAACGCCAACUUCAGUGUCUGGAACCCUGGGGAAUGUUAGCCUCGCCCUGCACCAGGCCACAAACUCAAAAUGACAUCCUGGGCUUUUGAAACACCUCACUAUACGGGACACAGAGUAGUGGUCUCUCACAGGGAGCUGGGACCUCAGUUUGACCUCUCCGAACCUCUGUUUCUUCUUCUAUGAAGUGAAGGGCAAUAGUUGUAAAUCCACAGGGCUUCUGUGAGUUUGGGAAUGGUGAUGUUUGUCACACCCAGAAGUGUGCACAGAGCAGCAGGCUGUGGUUAAGCCGACUACCCUCCUUCUCCCCCUGCCUUCUGGUGGCUUUGGGGAAUACCAGCGUCCAGAAAAGUUCAAAGGAAGAAGCAAGUUCCCAAAUGAACCAAGUGUACUUGGCCUCCAGCCCCUCGGCUCUCUCCAUCUCCUGGGCACAGGGCUCCGGGGAGGUUUUGGAGGUUAAACACAGGCGCCUGCUAUAUCCUGGCAGAAACUUAGUUACCUGUGUUGAGGAGCACCAGCUCUACCACCCCUCACCACAUCUCACACGCCACAGCACACUGGCCAGGCCAGGCCAAACUAGGCUUCCGCAAUCACUGUUAUGUUUGGGGACCAGUUGCCGCCAGACUGAGAACAUCUGAAGCUCGUAAACUGCAGGUUCCCUGGGGGCUGACCCCCACUUUGGCUUGGGGAGAAUUACCCAUAGACAGAGCUUGCAAGGGAUGCAAAAGAAGACCAGGUGAGGGGUGGCCAUGAAGGUAGGGGGAGGCAGCAU
rnacentral:lncRNA from 1 species